UGAUUUGAUGUUAGGAAGGCAAAUCCGCCGAAUUUAAGCAUAUAAUUAAGCGGAAGAAAAGAAAAUAACAAUGAUUUCUUUAGUAACGGCGAGUGAACAAGAAAAAGCUCAAGGAGAUAAUUCUAUAUCGUAGUUGUAAAAAGACUAUGUGUAUAGAAAUUGUUCUGUUAUAAGGAAGAAGUAAUCUGAGAAUAUAUGGGAUUUAUAUAUAUAUUUAGUUAUCGAAAUAAGUAGGAAUACUUUCCCAUAGAGGGUGAAAGGCCCGUAGUUAAUAAAUAUAUAAAGUUCUUUUUUUUUGGAUAAUUUUUUUUU
rnacentral:ncRNA from 1 species